UUUCUCCAUUUGGAGAUUCAGCUGUUAGUGUGCCAGCUUCCAAACCAGGCAGUGAAGAUGGAAGUACAUCCAAACCUCCUAGGAAGAAGAGGUUGGUCCAAGUGAAGAAUGAAAAGUGAAGCUGUUAUUAUGAUACUAUAAUGAACAUCUUUAGAGUAGUAUUAUGGUUGUUCUUUCAUGGAUAUCAAAUUCUAUUUUGUAUCUCUAAGUAUUAUGAAGUGUGUCACCAUUCUGAGUAGUAUUAAUGUGUUUGGGUGUUAUCUAUUAUAUAAUUAGAUUUCAGGGAUUCUAAUGUGUAACUUCCAAGACAUAUGUUUAUUUGAAGCUUCUUUUUAUAUAACCU
rnacentral:lncRNA from 1 species